AUUGAACGCUGGCGGCAUGCCUUACACAUGCAAGUCGAACGGUAACAGAUCUUCGGAUGCUGACGAGUGGCGAACGGGUGAGUAAUACAUCGGAACGUGCCUAGUAGUGGGGGAUAACUACUCGAAAGAGUGGCUAAUACCGCAUGAGAUCUACGGAUGAAAGCAGGGGAUCGCAAGACCUUGUGCUACUAGAGCGGCCGAUGGCAGAUUAGGUAGUUGGUGGGAUAAAGGCUUACCAAGCCGACGAUCCGUAGCUGGUCUGAGAGGACGAUCAGCCACACUGGGACUGGGACACGGCCCAGACUCCUACGGGAGGCAGCAGUGGGGAAUUUUGGACAAUGGGCGCAAGCCUGAUCCAGCAAUGCCGCGUGCAGGAUGAAGGCCUUCGGGUUGUAAACUGCUUUUGUACGGAACGAAAAGCCCUGGGUUAAUACCCUGGGGUCAUGACGGUACCGUAAGAAUAAGCACCGGCUAACUACGUGCCAGCCGCCGCGGUAAUAC
rnacentral:rRNA from 1 species